rnacentral:sRNA from 1 species
AACGUGCUCUCGGCAGCGUUGUGAGUAAAAACAAUGACUAACCGUUACUGAAAUAAAAACUUAGAGACUUUUAUCACUUUUUAGUUAACUUACACUGGACAAAAGCCACCACAAUUGCUGUACUGUUACUCGACACAGCAUUUGUGUCGUUUUUUCAUGUAAAGGUAAUUUUGAUGUCUAAGAUUAAAGGUAACGUUAAGUGGUUUAAUGAGUCCAAAGGUUUUGGUUUCAUUACUCCGGAAGAUGGCAGCAAAGACGUGUUCGUACACUUCUCCGCUAUCCAGACCAAUGGCUUCAAAACUCUGGCUGAAGGUCAGCGUGUAGAGUUUGAAAUCACUAACGGUGCCAAAGGCCCUUCUGCUGCAAACGUAACCGCUCUGUAAGCAUAACGUCAGUAGAAUUCAAAACCCGCCAUUGGCGGGUUUUUUU